rnacentral:lncRNA from 1 species
AAGCUGUUAAAUAUUUCUGUUCCAUCAGAAUGAUAUGGCAGCAGCAAUGAUAGGAAAUGCCAGUUCUUUUGUACAACAUAAAGGUCCUAUAUAAUACAGAGUGCAACUAUUAGCUGUUAUGGAAAGCAGAAAUCUGUAUUUUCCCAGCACAUAUAGCAUAUUCCACAAGUGGCUGACUCACCAUAAGAAUCCAGUGUUUUUCAUCAUUUUGGCAGUAGAUUUUGUAGGGAUUGAAGCUAAGUGAAGCAAAGCAAGAUAAAACAUAGUCUUAGAUGUCCAGCAGAUGAGAGACUUAAUACCAAGAAAAAGGAUUGGAGGUCUUAAUGAACGUUGUGAUACUGUCAUAGAAGAUUUUGUACUUGAGGCUUCCCAGUUUCAGUCACAAUUACCAGCCACUCCUCCUGUUGCCCUGGAGAAACUCCUCCAAAGUGGACAAGAAGAACUUGUGAAAAAUGUUCGUGAAAAGGAAAAAGAACAAAGCAGAAAUUCCACAGAUGCACAGUUACAGGAAGAGACAACAAGGAUACAAAAUGAGAGUAGUCAGGGAAGCGAUGGUACAACCUGUCCUCCCAGAUCCAUCGUCCUACAAGUAGUCUCUUUCGACACUCCUCUGAGUGAUGAAUCCAACUCAGAAAAGUGCACUAACUCUGAUCCGAACCAGAAAGAUCUCACCGAUGCCCAGCAAGAAACACAGAAUACAGACCCACUGAAUGGUGAGCCUAAACACUGUAAGAUGUCAGAAGAUAUACUGAGAACCACUGAGCAGAAAGAAGCACUGGUAGAGAACUAG